rnacentral:rRNA from 1 species
AAAGCUUAAUUGUUAUAACGUCUAAUUACCCAAACCCCCAUCUAAUCCUUAAUUAAUAAUGAGUAAUUCUAUAAUAUUAUAGAAAGUUUUAUGUUAAAACUAGUAACAAGAAGAAGACCCUUCUCUUUAAUGUAGGUGUAAAUCAGAAAGGACAAACCACUGAUAAUUAACGCCAUUGAAACUAAAAUAGAAACUCAUCAAGAAAAAUCUAUUUUCACCAACGUUAAUCUAACACAAGAACAUUUUAAGAAAGAUUAAAAGAAAAAGAAGGAACUCGGCAAAUGUUAACCUCGCCUGUUUACCAAAAACAUCGCCUCUUGACCCCAAUAAGAGGUCCAGCCUGCCCAGUGACCCUGUUUAACGGCCGCGGUAUCCUAACCGUGCGAAGGUAGCGUAAUCACUUGUUCUUUAAAUGUGGACUAGUAUGAAUGGCAUCACGAAGGUUAUACUGUCUCCUUUUUUUAAUCAGUGAAACUAAUUUCCCCGUGAAGAAGCGAGGAUAAAAAUAUAAGACGAGAAGACCCUAUGGAGCUUCAAACAAUACAGCACUUGCCCCCAAAAUUUAAGUUUCUGAACAUCUUAAUUCUUUGGAAAAUAUGACUGUAAGUUUUUGGUUGGGGUGACCGCGGAGCAAAGCACAACCUCCAUGUUGAAAGAAUUAUUCUAAGCUAAGAACUACCUGCCGAAGCAUCAAUACAUUGACAUCUAUUGACCCAAUAUAUUUGACCAACGAACCAAGUUACCCUAGGGAUAACAGCGCAAUCCACUUCAAGAGCUCCUAUCGACAAGUGGGUUUACGACCUCGAUGUUGGAUCAGGGUAUCCCAGUGGUGCAGCCGCUACUAA